rnacentral:rRNA from 1 species
GCUUAAAGGGGCCGUAGCAGGAUUAGUUAGUUCUCGGUGAAAUUGUUUAGCUUAACUGAACGAAUUGCCUUGAAUACUGCUAGUCUAGGGAUAGGGAGAGGUCAGGAGUAUGCUUGGGGGAGGGGUAAAAUCCUUUAAUCCUAAGUAGACUAUCAAUGGCGAAGGCACCUGACUGGAACUGGUCCGACUGUGAGGGACGAAAGUUAGGGUAGCAAACGGGAUUAGAUACCCCGGUAGUCCUAACCGUAAACGCUGCCCGCUGGGUGUUGCAAAUUCCUAGUGUUUUUGCAGUGCCGUAGUGAAGACGAUAAGCGGGCCGCCUGGGGAGUACGGUCGCAAGGCUGAAACUUAAAGGAAUUGGCGGGGGAGCACAACAAGGGGGGGAGCCUGCGGUUUAAUUGGAUUCAACGCCGGAAAUCUCACCAAGGGCGACAGCAGUAUGAAGGCCAGAUUAAAGGUCUUGCCUAACGCGCUGAGAGGAGGUGCAUGGCCGUCGAAAGUUCGUGUCGUGAGAUGUCCUGUUAAGUCAGGCAACGAACAAGACCCACGCUAAUAUUUGCUAAGCGGAUUUCGAUCUGUGCGGGCACAAUAUUAGGACUGCAUUUGUUAAAAAUGAGGAAGGUGUGGGCAACGGUAGGUCAGUAUGCCCCGAAUCCCUUGGGCCACACGCGGGCUACAAUGGCUAGGACAAUGGGCUGCUACUCCGAGAGGAGACGCCAAUCCCCUAAACCUAGUCUCAGUACGAAUUGAGGGUUGUAACUCACCCUCAUGAAGAUGGACUCCCUAGUAAUCGUGAUCCAUUCAUUCACGGUGAAUACGUCCCUGCUCCUUGUACCCACCGCCCGU